CCUACGGGGGGCAGCAGUGGGGAAUAUUGGACAAUGGGGGCAACCCUGAUCCAGCCAUGCCGCGUGUGUGAAGAAGGCCCUCGGGUUGUAAAGCACUUUCAGUGAGGAAGAACGCCUGGUGGUUAAUACCCAUCAGGAAAGACAUCACUCACAGAAGAAGCACCGGCUAACUCCGUGCCAGCAGCCGCGGUAAUACGGAGGGUGCGAGCGUUAAUCGGAAUUACUGGGCGUAAAGCGCGCGUAGGUGGCUUGAUAAGCCGGUUGUGAAAGCCCCGGGCUCAACCUGGGAACGGCAUCCGGAACUGUCAAGCUAGAGUGCAGGAGAGGAAGGUAGAAUUCCCGGUGUAGCGGUGAAAUGCGCAGAGAUCGGGAGGAAUACCAGUGGCGAAGGCGGCCUUCUGGACUGACACUGACACUGAGGUGCGAAAGCGUGGGUAGCAAACAGGAUUAGAUACCCAUGUAGUC
rnacentral:rRNA from 1 species